rnacentral:rRNA from 1 species
UAACACUAACUGGAGGACCGAACCGACUAAUGUUGAAAAAUUAGCGGAUGACUUGUGGCUGGGGGUGAAAGGCCAAUCAAACCGGGAGAUAGCUGGUUCUCCCCGAAAGCUAUUUAGGUAGCGCCUCGUGAAUUCAUCUCCGGGGGUAGAGCACUGUUUCGGCAAGGGGGUCAUCCCGACUUACCAACCCGAUGCAAACUGCGAAUACCGGAGAAUGUUAUCACGGGAGACACACGGCGGGUGCUAACGUCCGUCGUGAAGAGGGAAACAACCCAGACCGCCAGCUAAGGUCCCAAAGUCAUGGUUAAGUGGGAAACGAUGUGGGAAGGCCCAGACAGCCAGGAUGUUGGCUUAGAAGCAGCCAUCAUUUAAAGAAAGCGUAAUAGCUCACUGGUCGAGUCGGCCUGCGCGGAAGAUGUAACGGGGCUAAACCAUGCACCGAAGCUGCGGCAGCGACGCUUAUGCGUUGUUGGGUAGGGGAGCGUUCUGUAAGCCUGUGAAGGUGGCCUGUGAGGGUUGCUGGAGGUAUCAGAAGUGCGAAUGCUGACAUAAGUAACGAUAAAGCGGGUGAAAAGCCCGCUCGCCGGAAGACCAAGGGUUCCUGUCCAACGUUAAUCGGGGCAGGGUGAGUCGACCCCUAAGGCGAGGCCGAAAGGCGUAGUCGAUGGGAAACAGGUUAAUAUUCCUGUACUUGGUGUUACUGCGAAGGGGGGACGGAGAAGGCUAUGUUGGCCGGGCGACGGUUGUCCCGGUUUAAGCGUGUAGGCUGGUUUUCCAGGCAAAUCCGGAAAAUCAAGGCUGAGGCGUGAUGACGAGGCACUACGGUGCUGAAGCGACAAAUGCCCUGCUUCCAGGAAAAG